AUAGGGAAGACUUUAAAUUUUAAAGUUUAGAAACAAGAGUGAAGAUUCAAGUCAAGAUUCAAGAGAAGCUGCACAGAUAGGGUCUUGUACUUGUAUUUUCUUUUUAACUUUUAUUUUUCAUUUUGAUGUAAUAAUAGGAGCCACGGACCGGAACCUCGACAAGACCUCACUCGACUCUCUAGCUCAGUAUGUUCUAUCACCCUUCAUACUCUUGAACUACACGAGACCUGAUUCCCUUAUAACCCGGGAUAUGUAGGAUGCCCAAGACCAGGGCUCGAUCACAUUUUGUUCCAUUCCCUUCUCUUCCUUCAAAUAAAGGUCGGGUCCAAAUUGGUCUCGUUGUCUACGUCUUUGUCUGAGAACGCUUCGCGUCCCCAACCAAAGAGGGACAGGCUGUAGACACGUAAUUUUGACCCUCCCCGUGUGUUUCACCUUAUAUUUUUAAAUAUUUCUUUUAAUUUUAAUUUUGACGUGUUAGUUUUAUUCUAUUUUUAUUUAGUAGGCUUAUUUGCGAAAAUCAAAAAGAACAAAAAUAUUUGCUAUUUUAGAGUAUAAAUUUUGUGUUUUAAAGAAAGAAAAAUUACAAAAAUAUGCUUUAUAGGUUUUAAUUUUGCUUAGCCAGUUAUUUAUUUUAAGAGUAUUUUUUUUAGUUAUCUAGAAAUAGUUAUUAAAUAUUUUUUGUUUUUA